GUGGGGAAUCUUGCGCAAUGGGCGAAAGCCUGACGCAGCCAUACCGCGUGGGUGAAGAAGGCCUUCGGGUUGUAAAGCCCUUUUGUUGGGAAAGAAAUCCUGUCGAUUAAUACUCGGUGGGGAUGACGGUACCCAAAGAAUAAGCACCGGCUAACUUCGUGCCAGCAGCCGCGGUAAUACGAAGGGUGCAAGCGUUACUCGGAAUUACUGGGCGUAAAGCGUGCGUAGGUGGUGGUUUAAGUCUGCUGUGAAAGCCCUGGGCUCAACCUGGGAAUUGAAGUGGAUACUGGAUCACUAGAGUGUGGUAGAGGGAUGCGGAAUUUCUGGUGUAGCAGUGAAAUGCGUAGAGAUCAGAAGGAACAUCCGUGGCGAAGGCGGCAUCCUGGGCCAACACUGACACUGAGGCACGAAAGCGUGGGGAGCAAACAGGAUUAGAAACCCGUGUAGUCC
rnacentral:rRNA from 1 species